CAUGGUUCCUAGUCAGAUUUGUUAACCACUGAGCCAUGACAGGAACUCCAUAAGUUACAUUUUUAGAACAAAGGGUAUAGAAUAAGGUCCAAUAAUGUCAUUAUAUUAAAUAGAAACUUCUCCUUAUUUUUCUUUUGAUCUUCUAUUUUUUGGGGUUUUUUGUUUGUUUGUUUUGUUUUGUUUUGUUUACCAUUUCUAGGGCCGCUUCUGCCGCACAUGGAGGUUCCCAGGCCAGGGGUCUAAUUAGAGCUGUAGCCGCCGGCCUACACCACAGCCACAGCAACGUGGGAUCUGAGCCACCUCUGCAACCUACACCACAGCUCACGGCAAUGGCCAUGCCGGAUCCUUAACCCACUGAGCAAGGUCAGGGAUCGAACCCGCAACCUCAUGGUUCCUAGUCAGAUUUGUUAACCACUGAGCCACAAUGGGAGCUCCUUGAUCUUCUGUUUUGUUUUGUUUUGUUUUUAAAUCCAUUCUUACUGUUACAGUUUAUUUGAAUUGACUUUCUGUUCUCAUAAUUAGACAUUGUGUUUUAUUUCUGGUUUUGUUAUUAAAAAUCAAUUCUGUAAACAUUAUAAUUUAUUCAAGGUUAAGCUAAUUAGUGUCAGAAUAGAAGAUGGUAUAUCUCCAUCAACUAAGAAAAUAGUGUGAAAUAACAGGCACUUCUAAGUUAUUUUGAGUAUAUACUCAGUAAUUAUGGCCAGAGGCAGGUAAUAUAAACUCUCUUAUUUCUUACUUUGUAGAGGGUUUUAUUUGUGAAAACCACUUUAUAACUUGAGCGAUGCUUUGUAAAUGCUGCUGGCCUCUAAUGACUCCUACCUCCCAGUAUUCAAACCUUCAUGUAGCCCCCUCACACACUGUACCAGUACCAAGGUUGAUCUGUGUGACCAUUAAAAUAGAGAAGAUAUGAUGGCAUGUCCCUCCUAAGAUUAGGUUAUAGCUUCCACUAAAGUCACUCUCCAUCUCAGUCAGAUCAUCUGGGGAAGCCAGUGGCCAUGUCACGAAGUCAGUCGCUAAAGAAACACACUUGGUGAGAAAGUGAGGCCUCCUGUCAACAGUCAUGUGAGUGCACCACCUUGGAAGCAGAUCCUCUGGCCCUAUCAAACCAUCAAAUAAAUGCCUAUGGACCUACGUCUUGCCUGCAACCUCAUGCAACACUCUGGGCCAGAGCCACCUAGCUAAAAGACUUCCAAAGUCCUGACUCACUAGAAAUUGUGCAAUAAAUGUUCACUGUUUUAAUCCACUAAAUUUGAGGGUAGUUAGUUACACAACAACGGAUAACUAGGACAUUGUUGUUAUCCCAAAAGUCACUAGCCCCUCCCUCUAACUCCUAUAAAGAGCAUUAUGGUAUCUGAACAAGACAGAAGUAAAUUAGAAAACAAGCUUGCCUGCCAACAAAUAUAUGCUAGGCCGAUAAAACCAAAACACAUAUUUAAUAUGUACUGCUCUUUUUUUCUCAUCAAGUGGUCAGUAAAUUGUGAUCAGAAGGUUAUUGGCUCCAAUUACCCAGCAAUUCUGGGAACAGGUGCUAUUAUCCCCCUUUUGAAAGGAGGAAACCACAAUUGGCAGAGAUUAAGAAAUGAUCACAGAGCGGAAGUGAUACAGAGAUAGUAUCUUAAGUCAGAUCUCUCCUAUCCCUGAUUUAUGUGUGGGUAAGCAUCAACCAGGUUCUAAGAGGUCUAUUAAGUACGCAGCUUUUCUGCAGCAGGGUUCAUAGUACAUCUAGGAGACUUUGUUUUAUUUACUUCAAGCUUGAGAACUGGGCCCCAAGGCAGUAUGUUUCCUUGAUAUCUGGCCUUUGAAUAAGAGGGGCAUUGCUGUGUUAUCAUUCAAUUUUAUAAGUAUCUAAUUUUCUUCCUGGGAAUCAUUAGACCUUUAUUCUUGCAAGUUCUUUUUUGUUUUGUUUUGUUUUUUCCUGCCCCUACUCCAGUAUUAUAGCAUAGAUGUCAGGCUGGUACUCUGGUGUAGAGUGCAAAGCAUUGUGACAGCCCUUCUUCUGAGUAAUGUUAGCAGGAGGGAAUCCAUAAAUCAUAUAGAUCCAUUAAUAGCAAGAGAAAAAUGAUGAAGUAUAGCCAAGAGAAAAACUAGAUUCUGCUGACAGUUAAAAUGUGACAAAGAUUCUGUGAAGCAGAGAUAAUAUAGGAAGAAUGUACAUGUAGAAAACAACUCUAAAUGGGCCAAUAGCAGAAACUUUCUACAAAUGCACCUCCACUGUAGUUCUAAAAUAGAUCAAAUCACUUUGUGACAAGAAUUAUAUCAGGCACCCAUGCAGAAGGAAGAGUCCAGCAAAAACAGGUUAUUGGCUACUGAAAACUCGGCAUGGUAUCAAUCAUGGCAGUUCAGAAUCUUCUAGGUUCCUGCAAGACUUUCUUAAACAUGUCUGGCUAUAUCUGAAGAAUAUUUGUUUGCUUUCUUAGCCAACCAUUCUUGCUAGAUUUGGGGAAUUCAAUAAGCUCUGACUGUUCAUAAUUCAAAAUCUUAGUGACACAUUUUUUGGUUUCUAAAUUAGUUUUAUGAGGCAUGCGAUAAAAAUAAAAUCAAAGUCUGUUGAACACUUAUGGUGCUCAGUCAACUCUGAAUAUGACCUGUAAGAAACAGAGUAGGAACAAAAUGACACUGAGUAACCCAUUUUUAUUAAAAGAAAAAGUGAUUUAAACCAGUGGCAAACAUAACAAGCUACUACAUUUUUUUAAAGUUUUGUCAUUCAUAAGGUUCUGUCUACUUAUCAUUUUAUCAGGUGUGGUUGAAGUGCAAAAUUUAAAUUAAACAUGAUCGAUUUUAUUCCUCAGAUUUAAUGGAAAUGUCCACUUCAGCAUUUAGAAAUAUAUUUGAUGUUACAGUCUCAUCAUUUCAGCUAUGUGCCUUAUUCAUCCUAGUAGCAAAUCCUCAGUAAAUAUAGUUAUUUUACUACCCAUGAAAAGAAAAAUUAGAAUUUUAUCAGUUAUGCAUAUUUUCUACAAAAAGCUAACAAAUAUUUCAGCAUAGACAAAUUUGAUCAUGGACGAUUAGAAGACUUAUAUUUGAGAAUUAUUUAAGGUAAGUUCAUCAUGAAAAGUUCAGUAUCUUCUAAGACAAAAUACAUGAUUUGUAGAAAGAAGCCUUGGAUUAUAAGCAACACUGUAAUGCAAGCCCAGGGGAAGAACAUGGCAGAGGUGAUUUCUGCUCAUAGAUUUUAUUUUGAAAAUCUUCAUCUUUACCCAAAUAGAUUCUUUUUCUAGAGCAUAGAACAAAAAAGGGCCAAGAGAUUUCACCUGAUUGCUUUUCAACUUUGGAGUUUAUGUUCUUGAAAGAUGCCAUGUUUGGCAAAAGAGUAGUGGUAAGAUUAUGGUAUCGGAGUAAAAAUAAGUCAUAUCAGUACAAAUGAAAGCUGACUUCUCUUGGCCUUGGUUUUUGCUCAUAAUGGGCAAGGAUAUGUACCCUGGACACAACUGCCUAAAUUUAAAACCUAUUUUUGCAAUUAAUGUCUGUAUAACUUUAGGAUCUAAUAAUCUCCUCAUGCCUCAGUGACUUCAUCUAUAAAACAGAAGCAGUCCUAGUGUUUAUCUCGUGGCGCUCUUAUGAUAAUUAAAUGAGUCAUAUAGAAAAUGCUUUAAACCAUACUUGCCUCAUAGUAAGGGUUUGUUCGGGGGUUUGUGUGAAAUGACAUGAAAAGGAAAAAAAAUGUAUAUAUAAAUAUAUGUAUAUAUAUGGAGAGAGAGAGAGAUGGUGUGGUGGGGUUGGGGGGGGAAGAAAUGUAUAUGUUUGGGAAUGAGAAAAAAAAAAAAAAAA
rnacentral:lncRNA from 1 species